rnacentral:rRNA from 1 species
UACGGAGGGUGCGAGCGUUGUCCGGAAUCACUGGGCGUAAAGGGCGCGUAGGCGGCCGAGCAAGGUCGCGGUGAAAGCCCGGGGCUCAACCCCGGGUCGGCCGUGGCAACUACUCGGCUCGAGCACUGUAGGGGCGGGUGGAAUUCCCGGUGUAGUGGUGAAAUGCGCAGAUAUCGGGAAGAACACCUAUGGCGAAGGCAGCUCUCUGGGACGGUACUGACGCUGAGACGCGAAAGCGUGGGGAGCGAACAGG